GCAUAUCAUAAGCGGAGGAAAAGAAACCAACAGGAUUGCCCCCGUAACGGCGAGUGAAGCGGCAACAGCUCAGAUUUGGAAUCUGGCCCCCAGGGCCCGAGUUGUAAUCUGGAGAGGAUGCUUCUGGCGCGGCGCCUUCCGAGUUCCCUGGAACGGGACGCCGGAGAGGGUGAGAGCCCCGUACGGUUGGACGCCUAGCCUUUGUGAAGCUCCUUCGACGAGUCGAGUAGUUUGGGAAUGCUGCUCAAAAUGGGAGGUAAAUUUCUUCUAAAGCUAAAUACCGGCCAGAGACCGAUAGCGCACAAGUAGAGUGAUCGAAAGAUGAAAAGCACUUUGAAAAGAGGGUCAAACAGUACGUGAAAUUGUUGAAAGGGAAGCGCCCGUGGCCAGACUUGUGCCCCGCGGACCACCCGGCGCCCUCAGCGCCGGUGCACUCCGCGGGGCGCAGGCCAGCAUCGGUUUUCCUAGGGGGAUAAAGGCGGCGGGAACGUGGCUCCCUCGGGAGUGUUAUAGCCCGCCGCGCCAUGCCCCUGGGGGGACCGAGGACCGCGCUUCGGCAAGGAUGCUGGCGUAAUGGCCACCGGCGACCCGUCUUGAAACACGGACCAAGGAGUCAAGCAUUGGGGCGAGUGUCUGGGUGCCAAACCCGCACGCGAAAUGAAAGUGAACGCAGGUGAGAGCUUCGGCGCAUCAUCGACCGAUCCUGAUGUUCUCGGAUGGAUUUGAGUAAGAGCCUUACCGCUUGGACCCGAAAGAUGGUGAACUAUGCCUGUAUAGGGUGAAGCCAGAGGAAACUCUGGUGGAGGCUCGCAGCGGUUCUGACGUGCAAAUCGAUCGUCAAAUAUGGGGCAUGGGGGGCAAAAGACUAAUCAAACCAUCUAGUA
rnacentral:rRNA from 1 species